UCCAGACUCCUACGGGAGGCAGCAGUGGGGAAUAUUGGGCAAUGGAGGCAACUCUUACCCAGCAAUGCCGCGUGAAUGAAGAAGGUCUUCGGAUUGUAAAGUUCUUUAAUUGGGGACGAAAAAAAUGACGGUACCCAAGGAAUAAGCCCCGGCUAACUACGUGCCAGCAGCCGCGGUAAUACGUAGGGGGCAAGCGUUAUCCGGAUUUACUGGGUGUAAAGGGAGCGUAGACGGCGAUGCAAGCCAGAUGUGAAAGCCCGGGGCUCAACCCCGGGACUGCAUUUGGAACUGUGUGGCUGGAGUGUCGGAGAGGCAGGCGGAAUUCCUAGUGUAGCGGUGAAAUGCGUAGAUAUUAGGAGGAACACCAGUGGCGAAGGCGGCCUGCUGGACGAUGACUGACGUUGAGGCUCGAAAGCGUGGGGAGCAAACAGGAUUAGAUACCCGCGUAAGC
rnacentral:rRNA from 1 species